CACCCACGUUUUCUUCUUCCUCAAUCGUCUCAGACGAUUCUCCUCCAUAGCGAUCGUUUCCACUUUCUCCAAACCUCAGUUAUCUACGUCAGCAACAAUAUUCAGACCAAUAAAAUACUCCUAAAACCCCACGUCAUCAAUCAGACUUCCCUAAUAGACUAAUUUUUUAUUUCUUCUCCUUAUACUAAACGUUUUUUUUCUUCUAAUGAUGGUCUUCUCAUCUCCCACACCUUCCUCCAUCUCUCAUAAUUAUGUAUUGAUUCAAUCCACAAACUCACUAACUAUAGAUCGAUUCGAUUGUUUGUUUCAAUUUCGUCACCUCCACUUCAGUACGAAAUACAAUUUUCCGGUUUUAGAACCCAAUUCAACUCGGGCGCAAUCCUGGUAAGAUGCAUUUAUUCAUCUCCUUCUCUUCAGUGUAUGGGGUUUUGUUUCCUUCAUCUCCCAAAUCAGAGAAAAAUGAGUCGUACGAUGGUGAACAAGGUUUUAAACGCUAACCAAAUCAGAACCGGAGCUAAAAGCAAGAGAUUUUUUGGUAUGGCCUUGAAGAUGACAUUGCCUGCGAACAGCUACGGCUGCCCAAACUCGGAAGAAGUAAGUGUCAAAAUAUUUUGAACUUUAAAUUCAACAUCUGAAAGAGUGACAUUAGACAGGUUUCUUUCGAGUUUCCGCAUUCCUGAUUUUGUAAAACUGGUGAGAUGUUUUUCAGUUGAUCAUCUAAGGUAUGGAUACACAAACAUGAUGCAAAAUAAAAGGCAUAAGGUCUCUAAAUUCUAGAAAUUUAAAUAUGCAUACCCACUUUACUUCUUCGUAUGUUUUCGGUGAAAAGCUAACAUGUAUAAUUCCUUGCCUUAUGAGCACAUGUAUCUUAGUUUAUGUGUGGUACAUAUUUCUACUUUGUUCCACUGGCACUAUGGUUUCAAACUUCAACUGAGUUUACCAUAUCUCAAAUCGUUUUGAAAUCGGUGGAAUCUAUAGUUUACGUAAAUCUACGAUUUGUUUCCAGGUUUCAUGUCCACUUACUUUUGAUAUGGUUUCAGAAUGGAUUUGUACAACUUAACUUAAGAUAUGUUAUGUGUUUGAAUUUUUUAAUUGUAGGCAUAUAUGUUGGUGACAAAAGACCUUAAGGCACCGAGAUAGUACAACUUCAUCGUAAGUAUGGACACUAGAGUGAUGGAGAUGAAAGUAACUCCUCAAAUAUUUAUUUCUUUGAAUAUACUAAGGCUGUGAAGUUACAUGGGAUCCAAAUGUAUCGGCUGGCCAGGUUAUUUAUCUAUUUAGUGUCUUAGACCUAACUUUCUCUUUGCUCACCGUAGAAAUCCGAUCUUAGGAAUCCAAUAUGUCCCAAGUAACCUUUUUUCCUUCCAUUCUCCACAGAUCUCUUCUUUUUUCUCCGACCAAAAAAGCUAACGUCAACCUUCAUGUUAAUAUAACUUUUUCUUCACUUUAAUUCUUCAAAGCACUCUUUAUUUCAGUAACCCUCCAAUGGCGACGACCCUUUCAAUUCUCCCAUCUCCACCAUCUAUAUAUGACUCGCCUCAUUUAGAGUAACAGGACCCUUGACAUAACCACUCGAUGCACUUUCUCACAACUGAAAUCAUUUUAGAGGAUAUGAGCUACUGCAUCAAGUGGAGCCUUUUAUUAAUCAGGUUUAAGAUACAAUUCUCUUUGUAGUCUGGUUUUUUGUUUAUUUAAUUUCCGAGAUUUCUUUGUAGUUUAUCCGUUCUUAGCUUAACAAUAACUCACGGAUGAUGUGUUUAAUUGAAAUCUUAUAUUAGGUGUUAGCUUACGCACACCAGUCUUACAAAAGAAGUGAUCAAAUCACUUACCUUUCAAGUAAUUUCAAAGCAAAAAUAAAAAUUGUAAGUGAUUUCUUAUGAUGUAUGUCAGUUGAUUGAGAAUCGUUCAUGUCUUGGUGCGUGUUUUCUCUGUUAUCUUCAAAGGGGAUCUGAUAUAAAAACUGAGCAUUUUGUUGUUGUGAGGUUUACUCGGUUAGAUUAAUAUUUUGUUAGGCCAUUGGAGAAACAUUAUUCAAGAGCAUUUUUUUUUUCUCAAAUGUUAUCCAUGUCCAUAGCGCCAGUAUCAAAUGGGCCCGUAAGUUUACUCUGAAACUGACACGCUGAGAAACCUAAAAUCAAGACUUGCAAAGGGACUGAUAAUCAAGUGCACUAAAUGCAAUCUGAAAGGGGAUGCCUUAGACUUGCGUUCAGAGCUUAGCCCUUGCCAAAAUUGUAUCAAGGCUGCUUUCCCCAUCAUUACUUUUCACAGAAUUCCUGCUGAGCUUUGUUCUCUGGAUAAGUCACUGGAUAGUACAGAAGAUCUUAUUCUCUGUGGAUAGGCACUCUCACUGAGUGAGAAGGUAACACUCAGAGUUGUAACCCAAUUUUCAUUUUGUCUGCGAGUCGUGAUCCAAUUAGAAAAGAGAAAAAAUGUAUAAAUACUAUAUAUGUGUUGGAUUUUCUAUUUGAAACUAUGAGAUGUGCAUAAGUUUGGAUCA